CCUGGCCUUUUCGGAGGCUCAAAGCUCUGCCCUACAGAAGGACCCUAUACCCUACACUAUUCACUCAUUUGCUCUUGCCUUCCUUCUCAGAAAAACAGCCCCCCUCUCAGCUUCUCUAAGAAAAGCAGGAGCUCUGCUAGGGCACGUACCAUCUUCCAUCUUCAAGCUAGCCUAACCCAUUCGGUGCUCUUGCUCCGUUCUAGCUCCGGGAGUUGUGGUGUCUGUAGUUUUGAACCUGUUUGUUCGGUUGCUCUCCAAAACAAAGAUGGGAAUACUUCUGGAGGUAGGCCUGAUGGUGGUAGCGGUGCAGUCUAGUGGGCCCGUUGACACGGUUUUCGAAGAAGUUCUAUGGCCCUAGUGCCUUGUAGUCCCAUGGUCUUAGAACAUUUCUUUUGCCCAACUGUUAAACUUUAGAUUUGUUUUUGUUUAUGGCAUGGUGACAUGCCUAAAUCUGUUUUCACAGUAUAAUUCUGGAUGACUGUAAUAGUUACCCUUCUACGUUUCAUGUCGAUUCGAUUGACUCUCGUUAUCAAAAUUUUAUGACGCUUUAUUUGGUAGCUUAAUCUAUUAAAAUAGGACGUCACAAUUUUUAUUU